GAGGACUUCUGGCUUUUUUCCAGGGUACCUGACUGUCUUAUUGCAUACUGGUGUCAUCCAGGGCAUCCAACAUGAAGAUCUCUAAUGUUAAUGAUAAAGAAAAUUACUUCCCUGCGAUCGGGAUUGGAGUGAGCACAAGUGGCAUCACUGUUCUGUCAGUUUCCCAGGCAUGAUGGAACAGCCCAAAUUCCAGCUGAUCUGCAAACCUGUGCACUUCCCUCUGUAGCUGUAGUAGCAGUGUGGUGGAUUGCUUGUCUGUCCUUCUACCAGACUUACCACAGAGUCUAUUUGGCAACAUUUAAAGGCAAAUUAUGGAUUGCAAGGGGAUGUUAUGGAGAGAAUAUGGUUCCCAAGCAGCCCUGUUAUCAAUAGGCAGCUAAGAAGGUACAUUAGGAACUUAGAAAUAUUAAAUGCAUCAGGAAGAAGAAAAAAAAAGAAAUUACUGUGGUGUUUUCAACCAGAAUUUCAACUCCUGGUUUUGACAU